rnacentral:tRNA from 1 species
GCCGAUGUGGUGGAAUUGGUAGACACGCUGUCUUGAGGGGGCAGUGCCCAAAAGGCGUGCCGGUUCGACUCCGGCCAUCGGCACCA